CACAGGGUAUUUGAACUCUGGAAAGUUUGGGAAAAACUCAAAAAAUUUCCAUCUGUGCUUCAGAAGGAACAAUGUUAACUGACCUGGAAAGAUAAACUGGAUUACAUAAGAAAAUACAUUCAGUUUCUUAAUAUUGUUAUAUAAUUGAUCAAGUUCUGGAACUUCAGUGAUUUUUUCCUAUUCAAUUGAAUUUUUCCCAUUCUUCUGAAGGAAUUGAAUGUAAAGCAAAUGAGAAAGGCAACUUUGCAAAACCGCUAUCUUCAUCAUAAAUGUAUUACAUUCCUCUAAUAAGAACCUGCUCUCACCCAGCAGAGGAUUCCAGAUGAUUCUUUUUUUCUCAGGGAAAAGAGAAAAAUCUGAUAUGCAUUCAAAACCUGUGAUGUCCUACUUAUUAGAUAACUUAUUACAUUAGCGUUUGAUUAGUUUGAACUCCCAAUUUCUAGCCUAGAGUAAGAAAAAGGUCAACUAGAAUUGUAUUUAAAAGAAGAUGUGUUUAUCAUUGUUAUAAUCAACACUGUUCCAGUAUUGUAAGGCUAAUCAGUAAAAUUGCCAGUGUUCCUUCUUCACAUUUGAUGAUUUCCUGUGUUUCAGUUUUGAACAUUUAAUAUGCCAAAUAUACUGAGGUUUUCACUAAUAAAGUUCACUCAAGCGGAGUCAGCACCAAUUUAUAUCUAUGACGGGGGCUAUACUUUUACAAGGAAAUGACAUAUCCAGAAGUUGUAGAGUCACUGGGGCAUGGUAGAAGCUCAAAUUCUGAUCCUCUACUUUUCUGGGCAGAGUGACCUUGGGAAAAGAACUUCUUAAUCUACACAACGUAGCACUGUUGUUAAAACUUGGCAAAAUAUUUUCUAAAACAUAACUACCACAUAGUGAUCAUGUAAUCAUGUAACAAAUGUAUUUUCUAUUCCCCUCUUUCCAAUACCUGAGCACCACUCUCAAAUGAAAAUAUCAGCUGCCAUGGGCAUCACAAACAUUCUGAAGAAUACAGUUUUUCCAGCAUUGGUUAGCAUCUGUUGCAAAGAAUCCCUGGAGAUCUUGUUAAAUAAGAAGACUCCUGGGCCCAGCUCCAGAUCUAAUGAAUCAGAAUACCUGGGCAGUGCUGGAGUUGAAGAGUUUCCUUUUUAAGAAGCUGUCCAGGUGCAGCUGAAAACAGCUACUGAUGCUAUCCAUGAUCCAUUCACUCCUCUCCUGUACAUGAGAGACUGUACUUGCAGUUAAGCAGGGCCAUGUGACUAGUUCUGAGCAAUGGAAUACAGUACAGAGUAAUAAAGUAUGAAGCCUUUAUGUACUUUCUUCUCUUGAAAGAAGACCACAUAUCUCAGGGAGUACAAGCCUGGUUGGUGGAGCCACCAUAACCCUAGGAUCCUGAGUGUCCAAAUGAACCAGCCUAAAGCUGACAAAAAAUGAACACAUUUCACUGGAGAAGAAAAAAUAAGCUUCAGUUGUGUUAAGACUUCAAGACUUCAGAGUGAUUUUU
rnacentral:lncRNA from 1 species